AACGAACGCUGGCAGCAGGCUUAACACAUGCAAGUCGAGCGAGACCUUCGGGUCUAGCGGCGGACGGGUGAGUAACGCGUGGGAACGUGCCCUUCUCUACGGAAUAGCCCCGGGAAACUGGGAGUAAUACCGUAUACGCCCUUUGGGGGAAAGAUUUAUCGGAGAAGGAUCGGCCCGCGUUGGAUUAGGUAGUUGGUGGGGUAAUGGCCCACCAAGCCGACGAUCCAUAGCUGGUUUGAGAGGAUGAUCAGCCACACUGGGACUGAGACACGGCCCAGACUCCUACGGGAGGCAGCAGUGGGGAAUCUUAGACAAUGGGGGCAACCCUGAUCUAGCCAUGCCGCGUGAGUGAUGAAGGCCUUAGGGUUGUAAAGCUCUUUCAGCUGGGAAGAUAAUGACGGUACCAGCAGAAGAAGCCCCGGCUAACUCCGUG
rnacentral:rRNA from 1 species